rnacentral:rRNA from 1 species
AUUGAACGCUGGCGGCAGGCCUAACACAUGCAAGUCGAGCGAGCGGCGGACGGGUGAGUAAUGUAUGGGGACUGCCCGAUAGAGGGGGAUAACUACUGGAAACGGUGGCUAAUACCGCAUACUAUCGGAUAACCAAUAUGGGAUGAGCUAGUAGGUGGGGUAAAGGCUCACCUAGGCGACGAUCUCUACCUGGUCUGAGAGGAUGAUCAGCCACACUGGGACUGAGACAUGGCCCAGGCUCCUACGGAGGCAUCAGGGGGGAAUAUUGGACAAUGGUCGCAAGCCUGAUGCAGCCAUGCGGCGUGUAUGAAGAAGGCCUUAGGGUUGUAAAGUACUUUCAGCGGGGAGGCGUGAGCCGCAGAAGAAGCACCGGCUAACUCCGUGCCAGCAGUCGCGGUAAUUC